GUUGGCGGCAGGCCUAACACAUGCAAGUCGAGCGGAAACGGCAGUAUUGAAGCUUCGGUGGAUUUACUGGACGUCGAGCGGCGGACGGGUGAGUAACGGCUGGGAACCUGCCCURACGAGGGGGAUAACCGUUGGAAACGACGGCUAAUACCGCAUAAUGUCUACGGACCAAAGGUGGCCUCUACAUGUAAGCUAUCGCGUUGGGAUGGGCCCAGUUAGGAUUAGCUAGUUGGUAAGGUAACGGCUUACCAAGGCGACGAUCCUUAGCUGGUUUGAGAGGAUGAUCAGCCACACUGGGACUGAGACACGGCCCAGACUCCUACGGGAGGCAGCAGUGGGGAAUAUUGCACAAUGGGGGAGACCCUGAUGCAGCCAUGCCGCGUGUGUGAAGAAGGCCUUCGGGUUGUAAAGCACUUUCAGCAGUGAGGAAGGUAGUGUACUUAAUACGUGCAUUGCUUGACGUUAGCUGCAGAAGAAGCACCGGCUAACUCCGUGCCAGCAGCCGCGGUAAUACGGAGGGUGCGAGCGUUAAUCGGAAUUACUGGGCGUAAAGCGCAUGCAGGCGGUUUGUUAAGUCAGAUGUGAAAGCCCGGGGCUCAACCUCGGAACCGCAUUUGAAACUGGCAGGCUAGAGUCUUGUAGAGGGGGGUAGAAUUUCAGGUGUAGCGGUGAAAUGCGUAGAGAUCUGAAGGAAUACCAGUGGCGAAGGCGGCCCCCUGGACAAAGACUGACGCUCAGAUGCGAAAGCGUGGGUAGCAAACAGGAUUAGAUACCCUGGUAGUCCACGCCGUAAACGAUGUCUACUUGGAGGCUGAGGUUUAAGACUUUGGCUUUCGGAGCUAACGCAUUAAGUAGACCGCCUGGGGAGUACGGCCGCAAGGUUAAAACUCAAAUGAAUUGACGGGGGCCCGCACAAGCGGUGGAGCAUGUGGUUUAAUUCGAUGCAACGCGAAGAACCUUACCUACUCUUGACAUCCAGA
rnacentral:rRNA from 1 species